AACGAAAGUUGUAAUAUUAACUUAGUAGGACUGUCACAAGGAUUUGUUGAGACGGUGCUUGCAAACCACGUGGCUGGAGCAGGUGCUCAGCAGAGGCGCACCGGCAGCUCCUGCCCCAGGCAGUGUGGCUCCGAAAGAGCUCACCUGCGGCGGCCGAGGCCCCGCCCUCCUCCUCAGCCCUGCGGCCAGGUGACUGCGGAGGCUCCAGACGCGGCCGGGACCGUGGGAACUUCCUGCCGCCCUGUUUGUCUUGGGCCACCGGGAGGGGCCGACCCCGCUGUCAGCUCCAGCAGGCUCCUGCCAGGUCGCGGGCGUGAAAGGGAGGAAUUGUUCCCGGGACCUUUGCUUUGCUUGUCAAGGGGAUUUCGGCCAGCACCGCCCCUCUUCCCUGAAGGCCCGGCUAGCCUCAGUUCCCCUCUCCCAAAGGGGCUGCACACCAGGGGGAGGCAGGGGCGCUGGGCGAACCUCCAGUUUCGUCUGUCCCUGCCAGCAGGUGUCAGACCCCACGCCCCUCCGUCCCCACCUCUGAGCCAGCAGCCGCCACUGCUCCUUCUCUGUCCCCAUAACCCUGCCACUUACAUGGUCCUCGUUCCCCUCUCUGUCCCCAGGACCCAGCCCAGGGUCAGAGGCUCAGGCAUUUUGGAUCCAUCAAGCUCCCCAGCCCAGGAGAGACACCCCCCCCCAACCCAGAGCAAGACACCCUCUCCUCCUCCCACCUCCCACCCUGGGAGGGUGUCCCCAGCACUGGUCUCUGGAGGCAUGAAAAAGCAGGUUCAACUCACAACCGGAAAAGGGACAGGUCAAGGUUCCCAGAGGAUGAAAUGUCAGCCUUCGGCGGCGGCAAUGCCAUUCCGCCGGAGGCGCUGAAAAUAGACGCAAAAACAGAAGCCUCAAGUCUCCGGAGGCCAGAGAAGGAGAGACAGAAAGAAAGUGAACUCGAGAAGGGCCAGCUUGGAAGGACUUUGCCCUUUUAAAUGUGACCUUGCCACAUGCAAAAUUCAGGUAGAAACAAAACCUGUACGAGCUGUGACCACAGGCAAGUCCGGGGUUUGGCAGAAUUCACCCCUCCUUGGCCCAGCAAGCGUUCGUUGUCCUUUCCAGCAAGGAGGGACUGGCUGGGGCUGCCUGACGGAGGCCGGCACAGGCCCAGAGGACACGGGCGAGGAUGGAAACGUUCUGUCUCUGCUCCGUCCGGUACGGAGCCGCCGGCCACAUGCAGGCAUCAAGCACCCGAAAUGUGGCUAUUGCAACAGAGCAACGGAAUUAUUAAUUUUGUUUCAUUUGAUUGGCUUUAGAUUUAAAUAACCGUGUUUAACUGGCAGCAGGAGAGCUGCAAUUGAUUAGCAAUGUCUGUCAGCGACACAGGAUGGGAAGGGAAGGUGCGAUUGCUGCAUUACUGAAUGACCAAGGGAUCUGGCGUGACCUAGGUUGCCUGAGGCCUAAAUCGUUGAUUUUGGUGCCUGCUCAGUUUCAGCAUUUAGGAGAAAAAAAUGUCUGUGAAGUCUAACGCCACACUCCCCUCUCCUUCAGGCUCAUGGUCUUUACUCCAGGUAACCCCAAGUCUCUGAACUGGUUUCCCUCCCAGGGGGAUCCCAUUUCUAAGACACAGCAUUUCUCCCUACACAGCAGCCAGAAAGCGCCUUCCAAAACAUCAAGCCAGCCAUGUUUUACCCUGCUCGAAACCCUUCAUCGAGUCCUUCCACCAAGGCCCUUUGCCACCUGCCCCUGCAGCCUCAUCCCUUUCGUUCUCCACCUCCACUCCAGCACACACCCCACUGAUGCUGGUGGGUGCAUUUUCUUCUCCACUACCCAGGAAGCCCUAAAGGCCGGGGCUCUCUCUUGCCCCAUCUUGGCAUCCUCCACCCAAAGCCUGGGACCAGAAUAGCCCCCACUGGAAACCUCACGUGAUUCCAGGAA
rnacentral:lncRNA from 1 species